CAUUACGAUUCAUCGGUCACCCAAAGGCGAAAAGUCCAAAAUCCCAAUUCACAGCAACGCAGCAUAUUCUCAAUUCUAAGUUCCGAAUCGUAAUCUAUAUGAACCAACAAAAAAUUGCAACCUAACAUUUGAAAAUUAGUUGACCUUAAAUUACGAUUAAUGAAUUACUAAUAUCAUAUCAUCGUUGAUAAUGUUUGAAAACCGCGUAAACUGACCGUGACGGUUGCGUUUGGAGGGAGAGAUGAGAGAGGAUUAGGAAUUAGGAAUCCGUGUGUUGCGUUGUUGUUCUGCUUCACUGCAUGCGUGAUCUGAUCCUCUUCCCGCGUAAAACCCGAUUCUGGUGGCGUCCUUCCAUGACGACGUCGUUUCUGAACGGCGAGAGAGCGGUGGUGGUUUUCUUCAUCUGCAGAAUCCUCUACUCCCUCACUUUCUCUCUCCUCUCCCAUGGCCUCGCUCUCUCUCUCCUCGCCCUCGCCUCCUUCUCCCUCGAUAUCUCCUUCGAUUCUUCCAAUUCCCCUUCUCUUUUCCGCACCAGGCCAGGUGCUUCUUCUGGAAUUCUGCUCGGCGCUGUCACUCUCCCUUCUCUUCUUCUCUCCAAAUUGGUCCAACUGUCGCGGGAAUUCUCACUCGCUCAACUUCAUCUUGAAGAGAUUCAAUAUCUGACAUUGCAAUACUGGGCCACAUCUGCCAGCGCCUGCAGCGUCGUUUUGUUCCUCGCCUUCGCUCGACGACGCCGUGCCCCUUCAUCCCCUUCUCAUUGGGGUGUGAGGUUUAGCUUAUGCUCCAUUUUCUUUCAAGCUCUAGUUUCUGUUGCUGCCCUUGCUACCACAUCUCAAAUUGGGUUGCACCCAGCACUGAAGCUAAUGUGGGCCCUUUGUCAUGGAUUGGCAUCUGUGAAACUAAUUCAGCAUUUCCUCAGAACUUUUCCCUCAUGUGCUUCCAUUGGCGAAACAUUUUUGGUGACUUCCGGUAUUGUUCUCUAUUUUGGUGACAUGUUGUUGCUUACUAUUAAAAAGCUACAUGGACUAUUGAUGUCAUCAGAGUUAGUUACUGCAGAAUAUGAAAUAAGUAGAAGUGAGAUCAGCAUUAUAAUUCAGGGGCUUGUGCUUGGUCUUCUGCUAUAUCCAAUAGCUUUGAAAUACAUUCUCCAAAUAUGGGAGUGGUUUAUAAGUACAGCUUCUGCUGAAGCAAGAAGAUACUGUGAGAUUGGGAGAUCUCUUAUGUUUGUUGCUUCCCUUGGAAUUGUCCUGAUUUUGAUUGUACCAUCAUGGAUGCAGUUCGUGCAUGAGUUUCGAAUGCAUCCUUUUUUCUGGGUGCUUUCCUUUGUUUUCUCGGAGCCAUCCAAAAGACUGACUUUAUGUAUCUAUUGGGUGUGUAUAAUUUGUGUUUCUGUUUUGCGAUUCUAUAACAUCUCGAAGAACAGUAAGAUUGAGAGAAUUCUUUUGCGGAAAUACUACCAUCUGAUGGCUGUCUCGAUGUUUUUGCCUGCCCUUAUCUUCCAGCCAAAAUUUCUUGAUCUAGCUUUUGGUGCGGCUUUGGCAAUUUUCCUGACAUUAGAAAUUAUUCGAGUAUGGAGAAUCUGGCCUUUGGGACACCCAAUAAAUCAAUUUAUGAAUGCAUUCACCGACCACCGUGACUCUGAUCUUCUCAUUGUCAGCCAUUUCUCACUCUUACUGGGAUGUGCGCUUCCUAUUUGGAUGUCUACUGGGUACAAUGAUCGACCUCUUGCUCCUUUUGCGGGAAUAUUGAGUCUAGGAAUUGGAGACACAAUGGUUGGACAGCAUUACAAAACCUUCAAAACCCAAUGUGAUCAACCAUAUAGCAUGAGAGUGUUCAUGCAAUGCAAUCAUCUUUGUCAAUUCCAUCCUAGCAGCAUCUUGAUUAAAGGCAUCAAUGGUUGGACACAAGUAUGGUGUUCUGAGGUGGAGUAAAACAGGCAAGAAAACUGUUGAAGGUACUGCAGCUGGUAUAACUUCUGUAUUGGCUGCUUGUUCUUUACUCCUUCCACUCUUAGCAUCGACUGGAUACAUUCUCACUCAGCAUUGGUUCUCUCUUCUUCUAGCUGUGACUGUAAGUGGUUUGUUGGAGGCUUACACAACACAACUUGACAAUGCAUUUAUACCACUUUUUUUCUAUAGUCUUCUCUGUUUGUAGACACAGCUUAGUUAAUCUUGGACGAGCGACGAGGCUCUGCAAAUAUAUGUUGUCUCUGGGCACAUUGUUUAUGCAGAGGUCAGAUAACUAUUAACCAAUGCAAUUGUACUUUACCAGUUUAGGGUUGUGGUAUACAUAGUAGAUAGUAGUUAGGAUUGUAUCUAUACAGAAAUGAUAGAUAUACGAGUGUUCAUUUAAAGGGUUUAUACCCAACACGCAUAACACAAUGUAUGCAGAGUGACAGUUUCCCAUUUUUGUUGGAACCUAUGUGAGGCCAUGACAAGAGGAGAGUUGUUGAACAUCUAGUGGACAAUGGUAAAGAAAUUGUUAAUAUCUCAUUUUUCAUUCGUAUAUACAUACUGUUUUAUUAGUUUUGCAUU